rnacentral:misc_RNA from 1 species
AAGUCGUAACAAGGUUUCCGUAGGUGAACCUGCGGAAGGAUCAUUAACAAAUCUACAACACACCCUGUGUAAACGUUGGCGUUCCCGUGGUAGAGAGGGUAGACGUGAAUGAGAGAGAGGGGUAGAAGGGAGAGGGUCAGUCGUCGUCGUCUGCGCACCAUGAUGUCAUGUCAUGGGGUGAGCGGCGGUGACCGGCCACUACCAACCACCCCACCCACACUCACCACAAUACACCACCACCACCACGGGACACGUACAUCUCUAUACUAUGUUGAUUGACUGCCUAAGUAGAUAUCAUGA